GACGAACGCUGGCGGCGUGCUUAACACAUGCAAGUCGAACGGAAAGGCCCUGCUUGCAGGGUACUCGAGUGGCGAACGGGUGAGUAACACGUGGGUGAUCUGCCCUGCACUUCGGGAUAAGCUUGGGAAACUGGGUCUAAUACCGGAUAGGACCGCACUUUAGUGUGUGUGGUGGAAAGUUUUUUCGGUGUAGGAUGAGCUCGCGGCCUAUCAGCUUGUUGGUGGGGUAAUGGCCUACCAAGGCGGCGACGGGUAGCCGGCCUGAGAGGGUGUACGGACACAUUGGGACUGAGAGACGGCCCAGACUCCUACGGGAGGCAGCAGUGGGGAAUAUCGCACAAUGGGCGCAAGCCUGAUGCAGCGACGCCGCGUGGGGGAUGAAGGCCUUCGGGUUGUAAACUCCUUUCGCUAGGGACGAAGCUUUGUUGUGACGGUACCUAGAUAAGAAGCACCGGCUAACUACGUG
rnacentral:rRNA from 1 species